rnacentral:rRNA from 1 species
UAGGGAAUCUUCGGCAAUGGGGGGAACCCUGACCGAGCAACGCCGCGUGAGUGAAGAAGGUUUUCGGAUCGUAAAGCUCUGUUGUUAAGGAAGAACGAGUGUGAGAAUGGAAAGUUCAUACUGUGACGGUACUUAACCAGAAAGGGACGGCUAACUACGUGCCAGCAGCCGCGGUAAUACGUAGGUCCCGAGCGUUGUCCGGAUUUAUUGGGCGUAAAGCGAGCGCAGGCGGUUAGAUAAGUCUGAAGUUAAAGGCAGUGGCUCAACCAUUGUAGGCUUUGGAAACUGUUUAACUUGAGUGCAGAAGGGGAGAGUGGAAUUCUAUGUGUAGCGGUGAAAUGCGUAGAUAUAUGGAGGAACACCGGUGGCGAAAGCGGCUCUCUGGUCUGUAACUGACGCUGAGGCUCGAAAGCGUGGGGAGCGAACAGGAUUAGAUACCCUGGUAGUCCACGCCGUAACGAUGAGUGCUAGGUGUUAGGUCCUUUCCGGGACUUAGUGCCGCAGCUAACGCAUUAAGCACUCCGCCUGGGGAGUACGACCGCAAGGUUG